UUCCUCUUAAGAACGAAGCAAAGUGAGCCUCCACGCGCUUAUCGCCGUACACGAUCCUCCUCCCCCCUUUCGAUUCCUCUCUGCUCUCUCUCUCUCUCUCUCUCUCUCUCUCGAGCGAGCGAGCUAUGAGUUCGGCGAGCGAUCCCAAACCGGUGGUCACUGGCUAUCCCGCCGCACCCCCGCCACCCGCGGUUGGCGCCGCCUACGCCACCACCGGCACCGCCUAUUCCUACUCCGCCCCACCACCCCCCUCCGGCGGCGCUGCCUAUCCCACCGCCGGCACCGCCUACCCCUACGCCGCACCGCCGCCCCACGCCGCCCUCUACUAUUCCUCCCACUACCCCAACGGGUCGGCGCCGCCUGCGGCCCCCUACGGCCCCCCCGCCCGCCCCCACACCCGCUUCCUCAGCCGCCUUCUCGCCGUCGCCGUCGCCUUCUUCCUCCUCAUGGGCCUCGCUACCCUCAUCCUCUGGCUAGUCCUCCGCCCCCGCCUCCCUGCCUUCGCUGUCUCCUCCGCCUCAGUCUCCGCUUUCAAUCUCUCCACCUCCCAGCAGGUUCUCUCCUCGGACUUCGACCUCUCUCUCUCCGUCCGGAACCCUAACCACAAGAUGGGCAUCUACUACGACAGCGUCGCCGCUGCCGUCUUCUACGGAUCCGACGCCAUCACCGAGACCUCCCUCCCGCCGUUCUACCAGGGCAAGGGGAAUGCCACCACCGUCCGGGCGCGCCUCGUGGCUGCGGCGGCGUACGUCGAUGCCGACGUCGCCAAGGGGAUCUCCUCCGAUCGAGGCCCCGGCGACGGCGUCGUCAAUUUCCAUGUUAGGGUUUUGGCGUGGGUUAGGUUCCGCGCCGGGGCGUGGAGGACAAGGCGGCACGUGAUGAGAGUCUACUGCGACGACGUCCCCAUAGGGUUCAAGAACGGGACGGCGACCGUUGGAUCCCUGGUGGGCUCACCAAAGCAGUGCGAAGUUGAUCUCUGACUGGCCAACAGGAAUUGGUACCCGGCGCUCCCUCAAGAUCAAUUUGUGUGCGAACUGGUCCCAGAUCAAUCUGUUACAUCUGGGUCCCAAGUACAAGAGGUGUUUUUAGUGGUUCCUUUUAUCACCUUCAACUGUUCCAGCCCGUAACCCAUGUAGUCAAGAAGGAACAAACAAUUGAGAAUCAAAUAUAUUAUGAAAGGACCAAGAAUAUCAAAUUGGAUUUCAUGUUUUUUGUGAUAGUCUUUUGCUGUCUUUGUUGGACAUACUUUAACUUGCUGCAUCAAUUUAUAGCUUUUCAAUAUGGCAUGAUAUUUUGAGUU